rnacentral:rRNA from 1 species
GACGUAGGGGGCCAGCGUUGUUCGGAAUUACUGGGUGUAAAGGGUUCGUAGGCGGUGCGGCAAGUCGGGAGUGAAAUCUCUGGGCUUAACCCAGAGGCUGCUUCCGAAGCUGCUGUGCUUGAGUGUGGGAGAGGCGCGUGGAAUUGCAGGUGUAGCGGUGAAAUGCGUAGAUAUCUGCAGGAACACCCGUGGCGAAAGCGGCGCGCUGGACCACUACUGACGCUGAGGAACGAAAGCUAGGGGAGCAAACAGG